GCGGCGAUGGUUUAGUUGGUUAGAAUACGAGCUUGCCAAGCUUGUGACCCGGGUUCGAAUCCCGGUCGCCGCA
rnacentral:tRNA from 1 species